CCUACGGGGAGCAGCAGUGAGGAAUAUUGGUCAAUGGACGCAAGUCUGAACCAGCCAUGCCGCGUGCAGGAAGACGGCUCUAUGAGUUGUAAACUGCUUUUGUACGAGGGUAAACGCAGAUACGCGUAUCUGUCUGAAAGUAUCGUACGAAUAAGGAUCGGCUAACUCCGUGCCAGCAGCCGCGGUAAUACGGAGGAUUCAAGCGUUAUCCGGAUUUAUUGGGUUUAAAGGGUGCGUAGGCGGUCGGAUAAGUUAGAGGUGAAAUCCCGAGGCUCAACUUCGGAAUUGCCUCUGAUACUGUGCGGCUAGAGAGUAGUUGCGGUAGGCGGAAUGUAGGGUGUAGCGGUGAAAUGCUUAGAGAUCAUACAGAACACCGAUUGCGAAGGCAGCUUACCAAGCUACUUCUGACGUGGAGGAACGAAAGCGUGGGGAGCAAACAGGAUUAGAUACCCCAGUAGUC
rnacentral:rRNA from 1 species